rnacentral:rRNA from 1 species
GAUGAACGCUGGCGGCGUGCCUAAUACAUGCAAGUCGAGCGAACAGACGAGGAGCUUGCUCCUCUGACGUUAGCGGCGGACGGGUGAGUAACACGUGGAUAACCUACCUAUAAGACUGGGAUAACUUCGGGAAACCGGAGCUAAUACCGGAUAAUAUAUUGAACCGCAUGGUUCAAUAGUGAAAGACGGUUUUGCUGUCACUUAUAGAUGGAUCCGCGCCGCAUUAGUUAGUUGGUACGGUAACGGCUUACCAAGGCAACGAUGCGUAGCCGACCUGAGAGGGUGAUCGGCCACACUGGAACUGAGACACGGUCCAGACUCCUACGGGAGGCAGCAGUAGGGAAUCUUCCGCAAUGGGCGAAAGCCUGACGGAGCAACGCCGCGUGAGUGAUGAAGGUCUUCGGAUCGUAAAACUCUGUUAUUAGGGAAGAACAAAUGUGUAAGUAACUAUGCACGUCUUGACGGUACCCAAUCAGAAAGCCACGGCUAACUACGUG